GAUGAACGCUGGCGGCGUGCCUAAUACAUGCAAGUCGAGCGAACGGACGAGAAGCUUGCUUCUCUGAUGUUAGCGGCGGACGGGUGAGUAACACGUGGAUAACCUACCUAUAAGACUGGGAUAACUUCGGGAAACCGUAGCUAAUACCGGAUAAUAUUUUGAACCGCAUGGUUCAAAAGUGAAAGACGGUCUUGCUGUCACUUAUAGAUGGAUCCGCGCUGCAUUAGCUAGUUGGUAAGGUAACGGCUUACCAAGGCAACGAUGCAUAGCCGACCUGAGAGGGUGAUCGGCCACACUGGAACUGAGACACGGUCCAGACUCCUACGGGAGGCAGCAGUAGGGAAUCUUCCGCAGUGGGCGAAAGCCUGACGGAGCAACGCCGCGUGAGUGAUGAAGGUCUUCGGAUCGUAAAACGCUGUUAUUAGGGAAGAACAUAUGUGUAAGUAACUGUGCACAUCUUGACGGUACCUAAUCAGAAAGCCACGGCUAACUACGU
rnacentral:rRNA from 1 species